UACGAAGGGGGCUAGCGUUGCUCGGAAUUACUGGGCGUAAAGGGCGCGUAGGCGGAUACGUAAGUCGGGGGGGAAAGCCCGGGGCUCAACCUCGGAAUUGCCUUCGAUACUGGGUAUCUUGAGUUCGGGAGAGGUGAGUGGAAUGCCGAGUGUAGAGGUGAAAUUCGUAGAUAUUCGGCGGAACACCAGUGGCGAAGGCGACUCACUGGCCCGAUACUGACGCUGAUGCGCGAAAGCGUGGGGAGCAAACAGG
rnacentral:rRNA from 1 species